GGCCGCGGUAGUAUGACCGUGCUAAGGUAGCAUAAUAAUUUGUCCUUUAAUUGGGGACUGGUAUGAACGGUUGAACAAGAAAUUAACUGUCUCUAUUGCAGAUUUUGCAAUUUUACGUUUAAGUGAAAAGGCUUAAAUGAGAUAGGGGGACGAUAAGACCCUAUAAAUCUUUAUGUUUUAACUAAUAAAUUUUAGGGAUUAGUUAUAUACCUAGUAUUAUUAGUUGAAAUAUUUUGUUGGGGCGACAGGAGUAUAAUAAGUAACUGCUUUGUUUAUAAAAUUAAUUGUUUUUAUUGUGGAAAUUGGUAUGAUCCUCUUUAGAGAAAUCAGACUAAGUUACUUUAGGGAUAACAGCGUAAUCUUUUUUGAGAGUUCAUACGAAAAAAUGGUUUGCGACCUCGAUGUUGAAUUAAAGAUCCUUGAUGGCGUAGGGGC
rnacentral:rRNA from 1 species